CGGUUUUGGUGCUUGUGUGUUUAUUUAAGGCGCUUAACGGUGUCAACAGCAGCAACGUAAAAGCGAAUGAUAAAGUAGGUGGUAGAAGCGAAUACGAAAAUUGCAAUUAUCAUAAAUAAGGACUGUCACUACCAUAUCGCUGCUGAAAGGGUAUGGAUGUUGGUGAGGUUCCCGGCUUUCAAAUGAACAAUAACAUUGGUGUAUUCCUUGGCAAAUGGUCGGAGAGGAAAACAAAAGGCUUACGUACUUGUGUCCCGUGCACCUUUUCGUUUCUACGGUUGCUAAGCUAAAUCGCCAAUAAGUACUACUUUCCUUCCAGCCUUGGGCCGCAGGCAAACAUCCACCAAGAACUACCAGCCCCCUAAUUCUCGCUAUUCAUCGAUUAACGUAUUUAUUACAUGAUAUGCAGCCAGGGAGUCCACAUCGGUUGUAUUAGAACGGAGUCUUGCAAAUUUAAAAAUUUAAAUGAGAGAGAGAGGAAGGGGAAAGCAGUAAGUAACUCGAUAGAGUCCCCAAGGGAAAGGCUAAACGCGAUCACACCGACAUCGUAGAUUCAUUGUCAGACAAAGGGGACCUUUAGAAAGCCUUGCCAAAGGCACAUAGUGGAAGAAGGUGAGAAAUAUAGAAUGAAGUAACGCUCUAUCGCAAUACAAUGCGGAGUUAGGUAACUUGAAGCGUGGGGUGAACGCACUAACCGUCUUGGUUCAUUGCUAGACAAUAGUAAUAGUCAUAUCUAUUGGCUGAUUGCAAAGUAGAGGUUUGUAGAGAUGGAGCUGCUGAGUAUGAUGCCCAGGCGGAUGCAUGAGGAUGUGGAGAGCUGUUUUAAAUUUUAUGUGGCUAAAGGGAGUGAUUGCAGAGACAAGGAGUCAAAGUGCGUCUAGAGGCAGUGGAUAGCUCUGAUCCAUACAAUUUCGAUGGUUCAAGUAUGGAUCCUGUGAGGAUGGAAGUCUCGAGGUUGGAAGGUAUUAACGUAGUAUCUAAGUCGGCCGCGAAAAAAAUUUUUAUAAAGUUUAUAUGUCUCAUUUCUUUGUUUUCGCCUU